CGUCGUCGAAGGUCGGAUCAAAAAACUUAAUGCAGGAAUUCUUUUCGUGUAGGUCUGAAGAUGUCGUGUGCAAAGUUUUGUGUCAAUUGGUCGAGAAAUGUGGGAGGAGUAGCGAAAAAACUGUUUUGCGGUUUUCGCGAUUUAGCGAAAAAUAUUCCUAGACGCAAAUGGGCGUGGCCUAUGCCAAAAGAUGCAGCAGACUCCAGUGAAUCUGUGCGUACAAGUUUUUGAAUGUGGGAGAUUCGGUGUGGGAGUUAUAGCCCCAAACGCGUCUGUCCUUGGUAUAGCGCCACCUAGUGGCCGGCGUGUCUGGAUUUGGUUAUCUGAGUAGCGGUGCCGGACCUGGAUCUAGUCAUGCAAUUGCCUUGUCGGCACCAUUUACGGUUUGGGCUGUGGUACCACUUCUAAGGCGUAUAGU
ensembl:lncRNA